AGUUUUAGUUGCCAUUCUUCCAGAAUGAAGAACUUUCUUCUGCUAAUUGGGGAUGAACUAGAGUUCCUCCUAAAAUGCCUCUCCAGCUCCCUUCAUCAAACCAAGCAGAGAAAACAGAGUUUAGAGCCUCUCCUGUCCACUCCCCCUAACUGGGAGUGUCCAGUGGAGGGACAUGGGCAGAGCUUUCUCGGGCAUAAGAAGAAUGAAAUGCAGCAAGACUGUCGAUGAAGGAAGCCACGCAAACUCCGUGUUUCAUCAAAGACCAGUACUUCGAGCAGCACUGCUCUGCUGGCUUACUUUGGGCUUUACCAGUGAUUUAACCUGGGUACACGAAACACCAGCAUGCUUAUCAGCCCACCUUGCUCGGGUCAGCUGAGAGUGACAGCACUGUGAACACAGUAGCCAUCAAACCUUAACCUGAGUAAUUUCCUGUCAUGACAUCUCCGCUUCUGGGAAGAACAGGUCGCAUUUUGUUCUAUUGAAAUGUGCAACUAAUAUCGUGGCCUACUUUGAAAAAGCCGAAGCCAAUGGACAACUCCAGGACCUGGUGAGCCGUUUAGCUCUCUGCAAACCAUAAGCAGCAAACAGGCUUAGGGGUGUC